UGUGUCGUUCCUUGUUUGGUUUAGAAUCAAUCUGAGAUAAACCGAGCCGCCUCCUCCUUCCCCAGUGUUCUCAAGUCCGGCUGUGUCAGGAGAGCUGUUUCUCCAGCAGCCACUGCCACAGCCGCCUGAGCUCUCAACCACACGAGAAACAGUUCUUGGCUCAUGUUUUCAGGGGUGUGCUGCUUUGAGUUUGCGCUAGACACCUCUACAGAAACACGAGGGAGGGCAGAGCCUCUCACCUCAAGAAUGGGAGCACUUGGCAGUGACCCGAAGACCUCCUCCUACGCCUCAUCUCGGAACAGACUGCCGCCUCCCAAGAAUGUGACCCAGUGAGCAAGCCUGAAGGAUGUGGGCAUUUGGAUGACACUCGGGACCUACACGGCAGCAGAAAGAGUGAGCUCAGCUUUCGGGACCUUGAACCUGCUUCCAGGAGUGUCUGCAGCCAAGGCCAGUCACCACUACCACCACCAAAGCCUGCCAAGCCUGGCAAGCCUGGAGCCAAGCCUAUGCCAGGGCAAACCUGUCAAGGUCCAUCUCUGGUUUCUUUGGGACACAUGGCACUGCUGGAGUCCAUCUCUUCCUGACUUCUCACAUCUCUUUACCGGUACUAUUGGCCCCGUCCACUCCGGUAGCAGGGGAGGAAGUGAUCAACUGGGGAUGGCCCCCUCCUCGUGGGACACACCGCUGAAUGAGAGCAUCCAGUGGUUGCAGUUCAGUGAUAUGUGGGUACUUAUGGUAGGCUCAGGUGGCUGGGGACGGAGAAUCAAUACCUUUGCUGUAGAUGGGGCAAGGAUGAAGUGCAUUCAUGGUAGAAUGCAUUCUUGGUAGAAGGAACAGACUAGGCAAAGACAAGGAGGCAUCUCAGACAGGUGGGGAGUUGCAGGUCACUUAGCAUGGCUAUCAGCAGAAGCAAGUUGGAUCUGGGACUCUGGAGGACGCUGGCUUCCUUCUUAGGGUAUAGUGAGAGUGGAGGGUCCUGCUGGGGUGGCUGCACUCCAGGGAGGGGUUAGGCCGCCAGUGCUGAGGCCAGAGAAGGAGCAAAUUGGCUUUAGAUAAGGAUUGCCCCCCAGCUGACCUUCCGGGCCCUGGGACUCUGGAUUUGGGAUGAGAUUGGGGCUUCAGCCGUUUCUGAGCUGAGACUGUAAGGGAGGCCAUGGCAGUUUUCGGUUGCUACGCUAACACAUUGGAGAAGCUCUGCUUUAAUGCACAGCGGUCUGUCGACCCUCAGAGGUUUCAGGUUAUGGUCUUCGGCUCUGUUGCUUUGGGCUGAAGGGACUGAGGAGCCAGGAAGCAGGGAGGAGAUGGGGAAGAGGGGGACAGGACACAUACCAAGGGGCCCCACGGGUGGAGUCCCGUCAAUUGGGUGUCACUCCCUUCCGACUGCCUCUAAUGGCCCACCAGAUUAUAAGCACACAGGCAGCCACUGCUACUGUCAAAGCCUGAUGACCUAAGCCCUUCUGAGAAGCCUGUUAAUCAGCAACUAUGACUUUAUCACUUGGCCUUUGGAAGACAUUUGAAAUCCAAAUUAUAACCAUGCUUAUCUGCU